rnacentral:rRNA from 1 species
UAGGGAAUCUUCCACAAAUGGACGCAAGUCUGAUGGAGCAACGCCGCGUGAGUGAAGAAGGUCUUCGGAUCGUAAAACUCUGUUGUUAGAGAAGAACACGAGUGAGAGUAACUGUUCAUUCGAUGACGGUAUCUAACCAGCAAGUCACGGCUAACUACGUGCCAU